UCAAAUAAUUGGCUGAAGAGUGAUUCUUACUCAGGUAAGAAUUGAAAAGGGAAGUCAGUAGAAGCUGACGCGGUGCCCGCCACUGUAAAGGGAAUCAGCCCACAAUUUUGUCACUGGAAUUAUUUCCGGGAAGACGUGGGGUGAUGAGGAACUUAAGCCAGGAGACCUGCUCUUGCCAAACUACGUAA
rfam:Desulfitobacterium hafniense Y51 DNA, complete genome.